ACUCCUGCGGGAGGCAGCAGUGGGGAAUUUUGGACAAUGGGCGAAAGCCUGAUACAGCAAUGCCGCGUGAGUGAAGAAGGCCUUCGGGUUGUAAAGCUCUUUUGUCAGGGAAGAAACGGUGAAAGCUAAUAUCUUUUGCUAAUGACGGUACCUGAAGAAUAAGCACCGGCUAACUACGUGCCAGCAGCCGCGGUAAUACGUAGGGUGCAAGCGUUAAUCGGAAUUACUGGGCGUAAAGCGUGCGCAGGCGGUUUUGUAAGUCUGAUGUGAAAUCCCCGGGCUCAACCUGGGAAUUGCAUUGGAGACUGCAAGGCUAGAAUCUGGCAGAGGGGGGUAGAAUUCCACGUGUAGCAGUGAAAUGCGGAGAUAUGUGGAGGAACACCGAUGGCGAAGGCAGCCCCCUGGGUCAAGAUUGACGCUCAUGCACGAAAGCGUGGGGAGCAAACAGGAUUAGAUACCCGAGUAGUCC
rnacentral:rRNA from 1 species